rnacentral:rRNA from 1 species
UGGCGGACGGGUGAGUAAUGCCUAGGAAAUUGCCCUGAUGUGGGGGAUAACCAUUGGAAACGAUGGCUAAUACCGCAUGAUGCCUACGGGCCAAAGAGGGGGACCUUCGGGCCUCUCGCGUCAGGAUAUGCCUAGGUGGGAUUAGCUAGUUGGUGAGGUAAUGGCUCACCAAGGCAACGAUCCCUAGCUGGUCUGAGAGGAUGAUCAGCCACACUGGAACUGAGACACGGUCCAGACUCCUACGGGAGGCAGCAGUGGGGAAUAUUGCACAAUGGGCGCAAGCCUGAUGCAGCCAUGCCGCGUGUGUGAAGAAGGCCUUCGGGUUGUAAAGCACUUUCAGUCGUGAGGAAGACGGCGUCGUUAAUAGCGGCGUUGUUUGACGUUAGCGACAGAAGAAGCACCGGCUAACUCCGUGCCAGCAGCCGCGGUAAU